AACGCACCUUGCGCUCCUUGGUAUUCCGAGGAGCAUGCCUGUUCGAGUGUCGUGAAGCUCUCAACUCACUUCUUUGUUUGAAGUGCAGCUUGGACUUGGAGUCUGUCGGCGCAAGUCGACUUCUCUGAAAUGCAUUAGCCCUACUGCAGAUAAACGAUGGGUAAACAGUGUAGUAAUCUUUUGAUCGUCGCUGCAUCCGUCCCCUUCCGCGGUUGGCUCACAAAGUGGAGAAGUCAAUCUUCUCUUUUUAUCUUUUGACCUCGAAUCAGGUAGGACUACCCGCUGAACUUAA
rnacentral:misc_RNA from 1 species